GAUGAAGAACGUAGCGAAAUGCGAUAAGUAAUGUGAAUUGCAGAGUUCAGUGAAUCAUCGAAUCUUUGAACGCACAUUGCGCCCGUUAGUAUUCUGACGGGCAUGCCUGUCCGAGCGUCAUUUCAACCCUCAAGCACGGCUUGGUGUUGGCGGAUUGCGUGCCCUAGCGGUGCUGCAACCGCCCAAAUACAGUGGCGGUCCCGCUGCGGCUCCCUUUGCGUAGUAACUCACCUCGCACUGGACCGGGCGGCGGCUCGCCGUAAAACCCCAACUCACGAAAUGUUGACCUCGGAUCAGGUAGGAAUACCCGCUGAACUUAAGCAUAUCAAUAAGCGGAGGA
rnacentral:misc_RNA from 1 species